GUACACGCUGUGACUAGCAUAUCAAUAAGCGGAGGAAAAGAAACUAACAAGGAUUCCCCUAGUAACGGCGAGUGAAGCGGGAAGAGCUCAAAUUUGAAAUCUUAAAGGGUUUCCCUCUACGAAUUGUAGUUUAAAGAAGUGUCUUCUGUUGAGGUUUUGGUAAAAGUUCUUUGGAAUAGGACAUCAUAGAGGGUGAGAAUCCCGUAUUUGACCUUUACUUUCAACUUUGUGAUACACUUUCAAAGAGUCGGAUUGUUUGGGAAUGCAGUCCAAAAUGGGUGGUAAAUUUCAUCUAAAGCUAAAUAUUGGCGAGAGACCGAUAGCGAACAAGUACCGUGAGGGAAAGAUGAAAGGAACUUUGAAAAGAGAGUUAAACAGUACGUGAAAUUGUCAAAAGGGAAGCGUUUGACACUAGUGUUGUUUUUCUGAAAAUCAAUUAAAGAACUGUUUAUGCUAAGUUGUUUAGACUUUAUCAGCUAACUGUUUAGUUUUGAGCUUUUCUUUAAUGCACUUUUCAGUUAACAAGUCAACAUCAAUUUCUUUUGCUGUAAAAAAGCUUGAGGAAGGUGGCUUGAGAUUCGUCUUAAGUGUUUAUAGCCUCUUGCCUAUGCAGUCGGAGAGAUUGAGGUCUGCAGCGUAGAUCCUUCGGGGCUAAAUGCAUUUGUGCUAAGUUAUAGCAUUUUAUAGACAACUUGUUGACUAUGAUUUGUCUUGUAGCUUACUCGCUUAUGUUAUUUUACCUACGCUUAGGAUGUUGACAGCAGUAUAGACUGU
rnacentral:rRNA from 1 species